rnacentral:rRNA from 1 species
UACGUAGGGGGCGAGCGUUGUCCGGAAUUACUGGGCGUAAAGGGCGCGCAGGCUGUAGAUCAAGUCAGCUGUGAAAUGUCUGGGCUUAACCCGGGCAUGCGGUUGAAACUGAUGUACUGGAGUGCUGUAGAGGCAAGUGGAAUUCCCAGUGUAGCGGUGAAAUGCGUAGAUAUUGGGAAGAACACCGGUGGCGAAGGCGACUUGCUGGGCAGCAACUGACGCUGAGGCGCGAAAGCCAGGGGAGCAAACGGGAUUAGA